UACAGAGGGUGCAAGCGUUAAUCGGAAUUACUGGGCGUAAAGCGUGCGCAGACGGUUGCGUAAGUCAGAUGUGAAAGCCCCGGGCUCAACCUGGGAAUUGCGAUGGAGACUGCAAGGCUAGAAUCUGGCAGAGGGGGGUAGAAUUCCACGUGUAGCAGUGAAAUGCGUAGAGAUGUGGAGGAACACCGAUGGCGAAGGCAGCCCCCUGGGUCAAGAUUGACGCUCAUGCACGAAAGCGUGGGGAGCAAACAGG
rnacentral:rRNA from 1 species